GUGCCCACUUUAGCAGCACACAUACUAGAGUUGAAACAAUACAAAGAUUAGCAUAGCCUAUACGACACAGAUGACAAGUAAAUUUGUGACAUGGUCUGUAAUAGU
ensembl:snRNA U6 U6 spliceosomal RNA